GAAGUUUUCAGAGAUGAGAAUGUGCCUUCGGGAACUGUGAGACAGGUGCUGCAUGGCUGUCGUCAGCUCGUGUUGUGAAAUGUUGGGUUAAGUCCCGCAACGAGCGCAACCCUUAUCCUUUGUUGCCAGCGGUCCGGCCGGGAACUCAAAGGAGACUGCCAGUGAUAAACUGGAGGAAGGUGGGGAUGACGUCAAGUCAUCAUGGCCCUUACGACCAGGGCUACACACGUGCUACAAUGGCGCAUACAAAGAGAAGCGACCUCGCGAGAGCAAGCGGACCUCAUAAAGUGCGUCGUAGUCCGGAUUGGAGUCUGCAACUCGACUCCAUGAAGUCGGAAUCGCUAGUAAUCGUGGAUCAGAAUGCCACGGUGAAUACGUUCCCGGGCCUUGUACACACCGCCCGUCACACCAUGGGAGUGGGUUGCAAAAGAAGUAGGUAGCUUAACCUUCGGGAGGGCGCUUACCACUUUGUGAUUCAUGACUGGGGUGAAGUCGUAACAAGGUAACCGUAGGGGAACCUGCGGUUGGAUCAC
rnacentral:rRNA from 1 species